GGGGGGGCGGGAAUCUUCGCGCAAUGGGCGAAAGCCUGACGCAGCCAUGCCGCGUGAAUGAUGAAGGUCUUAGGAUUGUAAAAUUCUUUCACCGGGGACGAUAAUGACGGUACCCGGAGAAGAAGCCCCGGCUAACUUCGUGCCAGCAGCCGCGGUAAUACGAAGGGGGCUAGCGUUGCUCGGAAUUACUGGGCGUAAAGGGAGCGUAGGCGGACUGUUUAGUCAGAGGUGAAAGCCCAGGGCUCAACCUUGGAAUUGCCUUUGAUACUGGCAGUCUUGAGUACGGAAGAGGUAUGUGGAACUCCGAGUGUAGAGGUGAAAUUCGUAGAUAUUCGGAAGAACACCAGUGGCGAAGGCGACAUACUGGUCCGUUACUGACGCUGAGGCUCGAAAGCGUGGGGAGCAAACAGGAUUAGAUACCCCUGGUAGA
rnacentral:rRNA from 1 species